UACGGAGGGGGCUAGCGUUGCUCGGAAUCACUGGGCGUAAAGGGUGCGUAGGCGGGUCUUUAAGUCAGGGGUGAAAUCCUGGAGCUCAACUCCAGAACUGCCUUUGAUACUGAAGAUCUUGAGUUCGGGAGAGGUGAGUGGAACUGCGAGUGUAGAGGUGAAAUUCGUAGAUAUUGGGAGGAACACCAGUGGCGAAGGCGGGUCACUGGACCGGUUCUGACGCUGAGGCGCGAAAGCGUGGGUAGCAAACAGG
rnacentral:rRNA from 1 species